rnacentral:rRNA from 1 species
UACGUAGGUGGCGAGCGUUGUCCGGAUUUACUGGGCGUAAAGCGCACGUAGGCGGAUCGUUAAGUCGGGGGUGAAAUCCUGGAGCUCAACUCCAGAACUGCCUUCGAUACUGGCGAUCUUGAGUCCGGAAGAGGUGAGUGGAACUCCUAGUGUAGAGGUGGAAUUCGUAGAUAUUAGGAAGAACACCAGUGGCGAAGGCGGCUCACUGGUCCGGUACUGACGCUGAGGUGCGAAAGCGUGGGGAGCAAACAGG